rnacentral:rRNA from 1 species
CCUACGGGAGGCUGCAGUGGGGAAUAUUGCACAAUGGGCGCAAGCCUGAUGCAGCCAUGCCGCGUGUGUGAAGAAGGCCUUCGGGUUGUAAAGCACUUUCAGCGGGGAGGAAGGCGGUGAGGUUAAUAACCUCAUCGAUUGACGUUACCCGCAGAAGAAGCACCGGCUAACUCCGUGCCAGCAGCCGCGGUAAUACGGAGGGUGCAAGCGUUAAUCGGAAUUACUGGGCGUAAAGCGCACGCAGGCGGUCUGUCAAGUCGGAUGUGAAAUCCCCGGGCUCAACCUGGGAACUGCAUUCGAAACUGGCAGGCUAGAGUCUUGUAGAGGGGGGUAGAAUUCCAGGUGUAGCGGUGAAAUGCGUAGAGAUCUGGAGGAAUACCGGUGGCGAAGGCGGCCCCCCGGACAAAGACUGACGCUCAGGUGCGAAAGCGUGGGGAGCAAACAGGAUUAGAUACCCGGGUAGUC